UGUAUUUCUAACACUUAUUAUACUGAAGAGUUACACCGUUACAGAUGAUAUAAAUGUCGUAGACGAUGCUUUGCUAUGACAUGCUAUGACACUCCGAUAGAUGAGCACUGAAUGUUCUUUCGUAAUAGAGCAAGGCCCUCGUGACGUAGCAGAAAUAGCAAUUGAACAGACUAAGUAUAGAUAUGUAGUGACUGCUCUAUAGUGAUGAGAACAAGUGAAGUUCGUUCUUGUGAGAUUACGGAGGAAAGCCCAUUGGUUAUAGCUAACGUUAAUAAAUGAAAAUCGGAGGAGGAAGCCUCCUACCGACGUGGCUCGGGGGUGACCUUGUUCAAGGGAAAAACUGGCUUUUCUGUUAGACAAAUAUCCACGUUUUCCACGUUGUAAGAACGUGCAAUAAACCUAAGGACUGUCUAAUGGUGUUGGGCCUUGACGGAUCGCUUAACUUUCCGUACCGGCUUGUGUGACCCCCCACCGCUUUGGAAGUUGCGCAGCGAGACUAAGGUGCGAGGAGUCAUUCUGUUGUCUUAUUUCGUGCCGGCAACGUGGUUCGUGUUGAGUCAGGUGACUACACAAACCGGACUCCAUUCCUUGGGCAAGAUGGCUGUCAGAUGUUUACACAUCACUAUUGCGGACCUUGAAGAGUCUCCAUGACUUACCAUAAAUAUUAGCAAUUUCGUAGUUAAUUUCCUUCAGACUAAACAGACAAUGACCGUUACCCUCACCUUCCUAGUCAAAAUUGCCAUCAACGAAUCCGAUGGUACUGUGCGCUAGACACACCCAUCAAUAGUUUUCCUCUGCGACAGCAUCGUCACCGAACUUUAGGUUCUUCAUCCUUGGAUCAGUCACCAUCUCUUGAUUGGUUUUCCGUCCAUUGACCAGUCAUCAAUUCAACUUGUUACUACAAAGUUGUUAGAAUAAAGUGUAUAUUAUAACCUGUUACUUCAGUUCAACCAUCUCUAUUAUUCUAACUGAAAUAGGAGAUCGACCAAUUCGUGGCAUCGAUUAUGAAAUCGUAACGGGAAUUUACGGCUCUCGUUGGCGGGCUUCUUGGCAAUCGCGUCUUCCCGCGAACGGUCGAACAAGCUAGUGCAUUUCUCAAGAAGAUAAAGUCUCUGUAGGAUCUCAGGAAUGCAUAUCACUGCUUCAGCUUCUUCAUCUUCCUUGGGAAUGUUCUAACAGUGGCUCAAAAGCCAAGAAUAUUUUGCACAAUCCCUAUUUCUAUCAUUGGAUUUUCAACGGUUCCUGUUUGAUGUUAGUCUUCCUGGUGACAUUGGCUGGGAUAGCGCGGCGAUUUGAUGGCAUAAUGCUUCUGAUCCUCUGCUUCUAACGUGACUCUCUACACAAACCAGGCCCAUGCCGUGGGCAAGAUGGCAACCAGAUGUCCAUACACUUUUACUGUGUACCCUCAAUAAUCUUAUGGACUUACCAUAAAUCUUGGCAUUUUCAUAGUUAGUAUGAAAAAUUCCAUAGUAGUGGAGAAAUUGGAUGCCCUCCGAUCUCGUUGCUAUGAAAGAUGCAAUUGUCACUCACUGAUAAUGACACAUACAAUAUACGAUACAAUAGAUAAUCUUCAAUUUAAUCUUCUAUUUUAUGACAACAUUAAGUCACAUUCAUUAAUUUGACUUCAGAUAUUAUAAACUUCAAUAGAAUUUAAAAUAUGAAUCAAAAUUCAUUUUUUUUCGUACAAGAAUGUGUGAAAUUUUAUAUGCAAGAAGAAACUUCGUGUCAGGUAGAUUUUCUAAUCAAAGAUAAUUUUGAACACUGCUUCUGCAUUUUCGAAAAUGUGCUUCUACGAAGAGAUUGUCUGAGAUUAUUUCUGUCUUGGCAAUACAUUUAGAGUCAAUUAUUCCGUUUCAUCGAGUCUUGGUCUUUUUUCAAUCCAUGUUACUUUUUUCGUAAUAUUAAAAUUUCAGUAAUUUAUUAAAUGAAUAAAGUAGAGUUGUUAUAGUUUUAAACGAAGUAAUAAGAUAUACAAUAAAAAAUAUAUUAGUCCGUUAAGUAGAAAUUAGACAAACUAAUCUUCCUUUUAGAUCAGAAUUUUCAGAUUUAACCUUUUCCAUGCCCAUUGUCAGGAUCUUAUUCACGUGCCUAGGUGCUACUUGAAUGGGAGAAAGACAUUGGGCAUGAUGAUCAUAAUUAUUGCAAAAAUUUCUCAGCGAUUGACGAUGUGCUAGUAUACCGUGCACGACGUAUUUUCCACAUUGUGUGUGUGUGUGGUUAGGCUGUGGAAUUGCGUCGUUUUUCUCAUUCGCUACAACUUCAAAUAUUAAAUAUGUUGAGACAUAUAUCAAUUCAUUUUAUGUAUCAAUACAAUCACAAUUUGUGAUAAUAUCAUCCACACGAUUAAGUGUAAUCACUU